GAGAAACUUGGCCAGCAAUAUUUUUGACUUUUGUCUCCCAAAUUUAUGUUCAUUCAGUUCUUCUUCCUCUUUUAUGUGUGGCACAACCUUGUCAAUUUGAAUUGCCAAAUGUCUAAUUUAUUUCUCAAUUUCACGACUCACCAUGUCAAGAAAUCUUUAUAAAUAGCCUGCUAAUAUUUAGUAAUUUGCAUUACCAAAACUCAAUUAAAAGAAUGAGUAAGAAAAAUAAAUAAACCAUUGAUGAAACUUGAAGCUUUUUCCAUCAUUUUCUCUCUCCUCCUUUAACCACCGCGGCUCCACCGAUGCCACCACCUGCUUCCGGCGAAUUUUCCUUCCGCCCACUGCACAGAACCAGACCCGACGCCACCUUCUUACCGAUCAUCGGAUUCCACCGUCCCUGCUGCACCGCGUGCUGCCAGGGUGUCGGAGCCGCUGACUCCAUUUCCUCUUUUUGGUGUUGCGUUGCUACUGCUUCUGAUCUUCCUCUUUGAAUCAAAAUCACCAAAAAUAAAAAGGGUUAAAGGGGUUUGGUAGUUGAAAGUGGGCCUUGAGUCCUAUUAUGGAAGCACUAUUAUUUAUGGGCUAAAGUCAACUAUUUUCCUGGUGGGUUUCGGUUACAAGGGCAAGCAAAGUUAAAAAUUGGGCUUAUCAAAUAAAACGUUUGGUGGGCUAUGGAAGAUACGUUUUGGAGUAUAAAGAUAUCGUCACUUUAAGGUUAUGGUGAUCGAGGUUCGACUAAGGAGCUCAAGUUGCUCAAAUGAGAGUUAUUACUAGAGUUGGUUAUUUAUUAUGAAGAUAUCGAGAUGAGAAAUUAUUUAUUAUGGAAAUCCUGUUACUGAGGUUGUUAUAAGAAUAUUGAUUUGUAUUUAUUUUUGGGAAAGUUGUAUUAUUUAUGGAAUGUUAUUAAGGAUUAUUUUAUUUGUGGGCCCAUACCCACAGGUCCCAGGAUUAUUUAUGUCUAAUUCCGCUGCUAA